AGAUUGAACGCUGGCGGCAGGCCUAACACAUGCAAGUCGAGCGGUAGAGAGGUGCUUGCACCUCUUGAGAGCGGCGGACGGGUGAGUAAUGCCUAGGAAUCUGCCUAGUGGUGGGGGAUAACGUUCGGAAACGGACGCUAAUACCGCAUACGUCCUACGGGAGAAAGCGGGGGACCUUCGGGCCUCGCGCCAUUAGAUGAGCCUAGGUCGGAUUAGCUAGUUGGUGAGGUAAUGGCUCACCAAGGCGACGAUCCGUAACUGGUCUGAGAGGAUGAUCAGUCACACUGGAACUGAGACACGGUCCAGACUCCUACGGGAGGCAGCAGUGGGGAAUAUUGGACAAUGGGCGAAAGCCUGAUCCAGCCAUGCCGCGUGUGUGAAGAAGGUCUUCGGAUUGUAAAGCACUUUAAGUUGGGAGGAAGGUUGUAACUUAAUACGUUAGCAACUUUGACGUUACCGACAGAAUAAGCACCGGCUAACUUCGUGCCAGCAGCCGCGGUAA
rnacentral:rRNA from 1 species